GAGUUUGAUCCUGGCUCAGGAUGAACGCUAGCGGCAGGCCUAACACAUGCAAGUCGAGGGGCAGCAUAAUUAUUCGCAAGAAUAAUGGUGGCGACCGGCGCACGGGUGCGUAACGCGUAUGCAACCUACCUUUUACUGGGGUAUAGCCCGGAGAAAUCCGGAUUAAUCCCCCAUAGUACUGACAAUUCGCAUGAUGAGUCAGUUAAAGUUUCGGCGGUAAAAGAUGGGCAUGCGUCCUAUUAGCUAGAUGGUAAGGUAACGGCUUACCAUGGCUACGAUAGGUAGGGGGCCUGAGAGGGUGGUCCCCCACACUGGUACUGAGACACGGCCCAGACUCCUACGGGAGGCAGCAGUGGGGAAUAUUGGGCAAUGGAGGAAACUCUGACCCAGCGACGCCGCGUGCGGGAUGAAGGCCUUCGGGUUGUAAACCGCUUUCAGCAGGGAAGAAGCGAAAGUGACGGUACCUGCAGAAGAAGCACCGGCUAACUAUGUGCCAGCAGCCGCGGUAAUACAUAGGGUGCAAGCGUUGUCCGGAAUUAUUGGGCGUAAAGAGCUCGUAGGUGGUUCGUCACGUCGGAUGUGAAACUCUGGGGCUUAACCCCAGACCUGCAUUCGAUACGGGCGAGCUUGAGUAUGGUAGGGGAGUCUGGAAUUCCUGGUGUAGCGGUGGAAUGCGCAGAUAUCAGGAGGAACACCAAUGGCGAAGGCAGGACUCUGGGCCAUUACUGACACUGAGGAGCGAAAGCGUGGGGAGCGAACAGGAUUAGAUACCCUGGUAGUCCACGCCGUAAACGGUGGGCACUAGUUGUGGGGACCUUCCACGGUCUCUGCGACGCAGCUAACGCAUUAAGUGGCCCGCCUGGGGAGUACGAUCGCAAGAUUAAAACUCAAAGGAAUUGACGGGGCCCCGCACAAGCAGCGGAGCAUGCGGCUUAAUUCGACGCAACGCGAAGAACCUUACCAAGGCUUGACAUAUACAGGAAUAUGGCAGAGAUGUCAUAGCCGCAAGGUCUGUAUACAGGUGGUGCAUGGUUGUCGUCAGCUCGUGUCGUGAGAUGUUGGGUUAAGUCCCGCAACGAGCGCAACCCAA
rnacentral:rRNA from 1 species